rnacentral:tRNA from 1 species
UCCCUGAUAGCUCAGUUGGUAAAGAAUCUGCCUGCAGUGCAGAAGAUCUGGGUUCAAUCCCCGGGUUGGGAA